GACUAAAUAAGCGACAGACUUCUAAUCUGUAGGUCGUGGGUUCGAGCCCCACCGUGAUCG
rnacentral:tRNA from 1 species